UACGAAGGGGGCUAGCGUUGUUCGGAAUUACUGGGCGUAAAGCGCGCGCAGGCGGUCCUUCAAGUCAGAGGUGAAAGCCCAGAGCUCAACUCUGGAAUGGCCUUUGAGACUAGAGGACUUGGGUACGGGAGAGGUGAGUGGAAUUCCGAGUGUAGAGGUGAAAUUCGUAGAUAUUCGGAAGAACACCAGUGGCGAAGGCGGCUCACUGACCCGUUACCGACGCUCAGGCGCGACAGCGUGGGGAGCAAACAGG
rnacentral:rRNA from 1 species